UGAGAAGAAGUCAAGCUGCUAAGUUCAAAUACUCCCUCCGUUUCUAGUUCCUAGUUUCUAAAUAUAAGACUUUGUAGGACAUCUAUAAUUGGAUCCUUCAUACCCGUCUCAAAUUUCGGGGUAAACAGUCUGGUCAGUGAUCGAUCGCAAAACACGAUCCGACUGGACCCCUCAUAUUAAUCUUAAAUGACCGGACUGAUCGGCAUCCCUCAUAUCCAUCUUAAAUAUGUGAACGAUAUGAGGAGUUCACGGACACGUCCGGACAAGCCCGUUCAGUUUGAUACGUAGGACGUGAUCCCUCCCGGACCAUAUUUCUCGUUCUUUAUUCAUUUCUCUCUCUCUUCUUCUCCAUCAAUCACAUGUAAGUAACCAUAUAUAUGGGAAUAAAUAUGACAAGUGCGGUUGCAUGAACGAAAAAGAAGGGUUCAAAACGGACACGUCCGCGGACGUAUAAGGGGUCAUAUUUGCUAAGUAUGACUAUAGAUGUUAUUAAAUAUUUUACUACCGACUACAUACAAAGAAAAAUGAGUAAAUAUACAUUCUAAAAUAUAUUUAUACACAUCAUCCAUAUUAAAAAUUCCAAAAGAUCUUUUAGUUAAAAAUAAAAAGAAUAGUAAUUAAAGAGAGUCCACUAGCUAGGUAAGAGAAUGAAGGCUGCACACCCGCUAGCUGCUAGCUACUCCUAGAAGAUGCAUAAAAACAUUCGCACGUGAGAGCAGACAUGCAUGCAUACGCUGUAUGCCCUUUGUUAUUAAAUAUAAAUACUUUUAAAGAUUUAUAUAUCAAUGUACUAUAUAAAUAUACUUUAAAAUAUACAUUUAUUUAAUUCAUUUCGUGUGUAAUGUGUAGUGAAAUUUCUUAGGAAUCGAGAAAGUACACCGCAGUUCUAUCGUAUAUUAGUUUGCAAAAGUAUUGUGUCAAGCAUUUGUGGAGGGUAGAAACUACUAUUCUCUCCAGUCCAUAUUACUUGUCACGGCUUUAAUAUAAUUUUAUUGUUAUUAAGCAGUAUUAUUG
rnacentral:lncRNA from 1 species